rnacentral:tRNA from 1 species
GCCCUCGUAGCUCAACUGGAUAGAGCAGCUCCGUCCUAAGGAGAAGACUGGAGGUUCAACUCCUCCCGAGGGCA